rnacentral:rRNA from 1 species
UCGAGCGAGAAGGGGCUUCGGCCCUGAGUACAGCGGCGCACGGGUGAGUAACACGUGGAUAACCUGCCUCAAAGUGGGGGAUAACACCGGGAAACCGGUGCUAAUACCGCAUAUUCUGAUGAGAUCUGUGGAUUUUAUCAGGAAAGGAGCAAUUCGCUAUGAGAGGGGUCCGCGGCUGAUUAGCUAGUUGGUGAGGUAAUGGCUCACCAAGGCAACGAUCAGUAGCCGGUCUGAGAGGACGGUCGGCCACACUGGAACUGAGACACGGUCCAGACUCCUACGGGAGGCAGCAGUGGGGAAUUUUUGGCAAUGGGGGCAACCCUGACCAAGCAACGCCGCGUGGAUGAUGAAGUAUCUCGGUACGUAAAAUCCUUUCGACGGGGACGAAACCGCAAGGUUGACGGUACCCGUAGAAGAAGCCCCGGCUAACUCCGUGCCAGCAGCCGCGGUAAUACGGGGGGGGCAAGCGUUG